GAUCAUGGCUCAGGAUGAACGCUAGCGGCAGGCUUAAUACAUGCAAGUCGUGGGGCAGCAGGUUUGUAGCAAUACAGAUGCUGGCGACCGGCAAACGGGUGCGGAACACGUACAGAACCUUCCUUUGAGCGGGGAAUAGCCCAGAGAAAUUUGGAUUAAUACCCCAUAGUAUAAUGAAGUGGCAUCACUUUAUUAUUAAAGAUUUAUCACUCGAAGAUGGCUGUGCGGCUGAUUAGGUAGUUGGCGGGGUAAAGGCCCACCAAGCCUGCGAUCAGUAACUGGUGUGAGAGCACGACCAGUCACACGGGCACUGAGACACGGGCCCGACUCCUACGGGAGGCAGCAGUAAGGAAUAUUGGUCAAUGGAGGCAACUCUGAACCAGCCAUGCCGCGUGGAGGAUGAAGGUCCUCUGGAUUGUAAACUUCUUUUAUAUGGGACGAAAAAGGCUUUUCUAAGUCGUCUGACGGUACCAUAUGAAUAAGCACCGGCUAACUCCGUG
rnacentral:rRNA from 1 species